CGAGAAGAGAAAGGUGUUGAAUAGUAUGCAGUGAAAUGCAAGUCAACUGAAUUUAGGUAAAGUCAUGUAUAACCUGCCAGAAGUCAGAUCCACUUCAACCAGCACAGAGACCUGGACUGCAGCAAAUAAAAGGUGCAGUUUAGAAAGUACAGAUACAUUGUAAAUGCCUGUAGAUGUCAACAACAAUCCUUUGGUACUUUUAGCAGCAAGUGUGAGAGAAAGAACCAAACGUUUUUUUGUUUCCAUGAG
rnacentral:lncRNA from 1 species